rnacentral:rRNA from 1 species
GGAGUUAGCCGGUGCUUCUUCUGCGAGUAACGUCACAGAUGUAAGGUAUUAACUUACACCCUUUCCUCCUCGCUGAAAGUGCUUUACAACCCGAAGGCCUUCUUCACACACGCGGCAUGGCUGCAUCAGGGUUUCCCCCAUUGUGCAAUAUUCCCCACUGCUGCCUCCCGUAGGAGUCUGGGCCGUGUCUCAGUCCCAGUGUGGCUGAUCAUCCUCUCAGACCAGCUAGGGAUCGUCGCCUAGGUGAGCCUUUACCUCACCUACUAGCUAAUCCCACCUGGGCUUAUCCAUCAGCGCAAGGCCCGAAGGUCCCCUGCUUUCCCCCGUAGGGCGUAUGCGGUAUUAGCAGUCGUUUCCAACUGUUAUCCCCCACAAAUGGGCAAAUUCCCAGGCAUUACUCACCCGUCCGCCGCUCGUCAUCUUCAAAAGCAAGCUUUUGAAAUGUUACCGCUCGACUUGCAUGUGUUAGGCCUGCCGCCAGCGUUCAAUCUGAGCCAGAAUCAAACUCCUGA